AGCGAACGCUGGCGGCAGGCUUAACACAUGCAAGUCGAGCGGAGAUGAGGUGCUUGCACCUUAUCUUAGCGGCGGACGGGUGAGUAAUGCUUAGGAAUCUGCCUAUUAGUGGGGGACAACAUUCCGAAAGGAAUGCUAAUACCGCAUACGCCCUACGGGGGAAAGCAGGGGAUCUUCGGACCUUGCGCUAAUAGAUGAGCCUAAGUCGGAUUAGCUAGUUGGUGGGGUAAAGGCCUACCAAGGCGACGAUCUGUAGCGGGUCUGAGAGGAUGAUCCGCCACACUGGGACUGAGACACGGCCCAGACUCCUACGGGAGGCAGCAGUGGGGAAUAUUGGACAAUGGGCGGAAGCCUGAUCCAGCCAUGCCGCGUGUGUGAAGAAGGCCUUUUGGUUGUAAAGCACUUUAAGCGAGGAGGAGGCUACCUGGAUUAAUACUCUAGGAUAGUGGACGUUACUCGCAGAAUAAGCACCGGCUAACUCUGUGCCAGCAGCUGCAGUAACAC
rnacentral:rRNA from 1 species